CAAGUUAUAGAUGAAAUCCAAAGUUAAUAGAGUAUCACAAAGAUAAUGGAAAAGGCCUCCAGCAAAGGUUCUAGGAUGAGAUCCUCUAAGUCCAAGUUGAUUAAGUGGAAUGAAUACUUUUGGUCUUAUAAAUUUAUCAUGUUUUUGUUGUUUUUAAUGUAAUAAUAACAAUAAAGUAAAGUGACAAUAAUAAAAUAUGUAUGAUGAGUUUAUA
rnacentral:lncRNA from 1 species